UUGAGCCAUGCAUGUCUAAGUAUAAGCAAUUAUACAGCGAAACUGCGAAUGGCUCAUUAUAUAAGUUAUCGUUUAUUUGAUAGUACCUUACUACUUGGAUAACCGUGGUAAUUCUAGAGCUAAUACAUGCUAAAAAUCCCGACUUCGGAAGGGAUGUAUUUAUUAGAUUAAAAACCAAUGCCCUCUGGGCUCCUUGGUGAUUCAUAAUAACUUUUCGAAUCGCAUGGCCUUGCGCCGGCGAUGGUUCAUUCAAAUUUCUUCCCUAUCAACUUUCGAUGUUUGGGUAUUGGCCAAACAUGGUCGCAACGGGUAACGGAGGGUUAGGGCUCGACCCCGGAGAAGGAGCCUGAGAAACGGCUACUACAUCCAAGGAAGGCAGCAGGCGCGCAAAUUACCCAAUCCCGAUUCGGGGAGGUAGUGACAAUAAAUACUGAUACAGGGCUCUUUUGGGUCUUGUAAUUGGAAUGAGUACAAUUUAAAUCUCUUAACGAGGAACAAUUGGAGGGCAAGUCUGGUGCCAGCAGCCGCGGUAAUUCCAGCUCCAAUAGCGUAUAUUAAAGUUGUUGUGGUUAAAAAGCUCGUAGUUGAACCUUGGGCCUGGCUGGCCGGUCCGCCUCACCGCGUGUACUGGUCCGGCCGGGCCUUUCCCUCUGUGGAACCUCAUGCCCUUCACUGGGUGUGGCGGGGAAACAGGACUUUUACUUUGAAAAAAUUAGAGUGCUCCAGGCAGGCCUAUGCUCGAAUACAUUAGCAUGGAAUAAUAAAAUAGGACGUGUGGUUCUAUUUUGUUGGUUUCUAGGACCGCCGUAAUGAUUAAUAGGGACAGUCGGGGGCAUCAGUAUUCAAUUGUCAGAGGUGAAAUUCUUGGAUUUAUUGAAGACUAACUACUGCGAAAGCAUUUGCCAAGGAUGUUUUCAUUAAUCAGGAACGAAAGUUAGGGGAUCGAAGACGAUCAGAUACCGUCGUAGUCUUAACCAUAAACUAUGCCGACUAGGGAUCGGACGAUGUUAUUUUUUGACGCGUUCGGCACCUUACGAGAAAUCAAAGUG
rnacentral:rRNA from 1 species